rnacentral:lncRNA from 1 species
AUGGAAGCCCUGGCAAGCAAGUGGUGGAGAGGUCCCACAGCCAGCUGCUUCCUCGAGGGCCAUCUGUCAGAUCCUCCUCAUUUUUCACAAGAGGAAACUUGCCUGAGGCACGUCGACCUCUGCAAGGAAAAUGGAAUGUGCAAGUCCAGAAGUUUCUGCCCUGCUUCCCUGCAGCCCGGAAUGACCCAAACCACAGAAACCCUCGUUCAGGGUCUCCUCUUCAUGGUCUGCCAGCCAGUGUUCAUUGUGUUGUCACCUCAGAAAGCUGAUGGGAGAGAUGUUCAAGGGAUGGGCAGCGCAGGGUUGCCAUGGUGA